rnacentral:misc_RNA from 1 species
GGCCGCGAAAACGGGCUAAGUCCAAGCGCGUGGAAAGACACCGAGGCUGCUACGUAGGUCUCGGUUGAAGGGCACGGUGGAACGGAGGGAAAACGGGAGGAGACGCAAGGCAACGGGCGGCAGGGCUGUUCGGCCUUGCGUUUCGGGUGAAAACGAGGGGUUCGCCAUGGCGAACGGGCCAAAAACGGAUUUUCGGCCACGGCCGCGAAAACGGGCACGUGGAAGGGCACGGGACCCUCCCGUGGUCCCCCCGCGUGAGACGUGGAAGUUCGGGUGCACCCGUGAGGGAAAACGGGUCACGCUAGCGAAACCCCUGAUUCUGAGCAAAAACGCUGUGUCCAGCCAUCUUAGAUGGGUUUCGUGGGGUACUGGGAAAAUGCCCUGGUUUUCUGAAGGCAGAACUCCCCGAAGUCCUGGGAGGGGGUAUGCCCCUCAGGUAUAGUAGGGGGUAGGGAACUCGUGCAGCCGAAACCCGGGCGAAACGCUGCUGAAACCAUAGCGUUUCCAGCGUCUCCUCCAGGUCUCCUCGGCCGAGCCCCGCACCCCCUCGCGGCCUAACCGUGGCCGGUCGGCACCCUACCGCGGCCCAGCUCCGGCUGGCGCUGUUGGCUGCCUGGCCGGCCGUGGUUCGGCCGUGACGCAGCCACGACCGGCUAUGGCUGGCUACCGCCGGCCAGACGCCCUGGACGAGUGGCUGCACCGUGGGAUGGCCCGUUGCUCGAUGCGUUUUCCGUUUCUCCCGCGCUCGGUGGACCUUCGGUCGCCGUCCUCGCAAGCAGACCCGCCGCGCCCAGCGCGGAGGGAUGCUUUGGAUGGCUCGAUCGUAGCGGCUACGCUGGCGCAUGAGUUGUCUUGGACCCGUGACUGCUUGGAGGACCCCCGCUGCCGUGCGGCCGACUCCCGGCGCCCGUGUCCCAUCACUCGUGCGGGCAUCCUGUGCCUGCUGCGUUGAGAAGUGCUUGCGUGCUGCUACCCGUCCCACGGGAAGCCGUGCUCGAUACACGUUGCCUUCGUCGAGCUCACCCCCCGGGGUGCGGCUCGUCGGCUCGAGAGCGCCCGCGGCGUUUGCCUCGUGCCGCCGUCGGCCUAUGGCCGGCGGCACCGAGGACACCUCGCUGGCGCUUUUGGUCUCGGAUGUGGCUCACGCUGAAGGCCGGAGACACGUUGGCGUCACGCGCCCAAGAAUCGGUCCGCCCGAACGAACGACGUCCAACCCGGCACGACGCCUCCGCGCGGAGGCCGGCGCUGGCCCGUCUGCGAGGACGUGC